rnacentral:rRNA from 1 species
CCCUUAGAUGUUCUGGGCCGCACGCGCGCUACACUGAUGAAUGCAACGAGCUCUACCCUUGACCGAAAGGCCCGGGUAAACUUGUGAAACUUCAUCGUGAUGGGGAUAGAUUAUUGCAAUUAUUAAUCUUCAACGAGGAAUUCCUAGUAAGCGCGAGUCAUCAGCUCGCGUUGAUUACGUCCCUGCCCUUUGUACACACCGCCCGUCGCUCCUACCGAUUGAAUGGUCCGGUGAAAUCUUCGGAUUGCUGAUCAAGAUCCAGCAAUGGAGCUUGGUUGCGAGAAGUUGAUUAAACCUUAUUAUUUAGAGGAAGGAGAAGUCGUAACA